rnacentral:lncRNA from 1 species
AGCUUUGGCUUCUUCAGACAUGUCCAAGGGAUCUGGUUCCUUCACAGCAGACCCCUCCAAGCUCUUUCCUGUCCAUCCACUUCUGAUAUUCCGGUUUCCAGGCAGCUGGGGUGAACCCACUCCCACAGUCUCAUAAGGGGACACAUCAUCUUUCACCGAGUUUCUACUGCCACUGCUAUCAGUGCUUGAAGCAUCGGAAACAAGAGAAGUCUCACCUAUGUUUCCAAUAUGAAGGGGAUACAUCAUCUUUCCCCGAGUUUCUACUGCCACUACUAUCAGAUCUUGAAGCAUCGGAAGCAAGAGAAGUCUCACCUAUGUUUCCAAUAUGAGGGAACCCCUGAUCUCCAGAGAAAUUUGAUCUUGUAAAUCGAUCAUCAGUUCUUUGUACAGUGUUCAUAUCUGUGGACUUAUAUCCAGGAUCAUCUGACUUUUGAUGCGUCUUUUCUAUAUCUGCCGUCUCAGAAUAGGUUUUGGAAAGAGGAUUCAAGGGUGAUCCCUCGUGAUAUGAGUUGCUGGGUAUAGAUGAAGUUUCAAUCCUAGACACAGAGGAAGAAUCUGUGUUAUCUGCCGGUUGUGUGUCCUUUUUCGCAAAGUAG